CAUUCCCAAAGCACAUGGGCCAUAUCGGCCCGUUCCUGCUCGCACCACGGCAGCCGGGGGACGGGUGCAGCGCGGGCCACAGGCGGUGCAGGUGGUAGGGGCUACCCGAAAGAUCCCGUCUGCAACCAUUUCUGGUCGACCGCCCGGGACCUGUCCAGCCGCCCGUCGGCUGCUGGAUAUUUCCUUCGUUCAUUCCUGUUGUGACCAAGCACCUCUCGGAAACCUGCGUGUAACCCUGUGAAACGCCCGUCAGUCGCUGCUACAAUCGGCUGAUUGCGCAAGCACCGGCCGACUGCCACCCAUCAAGCACAAAAGCUGCUGCCUCGUGUCCUGGACUCCUAUCACCUUGCGUCGUUGGAGCCAUCGUCGCGCGAUCCCGCGCAGGUGAUGCCGGCACGCAUCGUAGUGCCCUCAAGUCAAGCAUAAGAAGCCUCAGCGGCAAAUGUCAAGCGUGAUUUGCGGCCAGUUUCACAGUGCUAAAACUGUCGCCUUCGCUCAUUGUAGCGAGAGACUGGAAUGAUGUUCCUGAAGAAGCGGCGAACCACUCGAGUGCGACCAUGUUCAAGACUGCCAUUGAACACCUUCUUUGAAGCUGCUCACCCCUCAUACAAAAUCAUUCUCCAGGG